rnacentral:rRNA from 1 species
GAUGAACGCUGGCGGCGUGCUUAACACAUGCAAGUCGAACGGUGAAGGCGGAGCUUGCUCUGCUGGAUCAGUGGCGAACGGGUGAGUAACACGUGAGCAAUCUGCCCCUGACUCUGGGAUAAGCGCUGGAAACGGCGUCUAAUACUGGAUACGAGCUGCGAAGGCAUCUUCAGCAGCUGGAAAGAAUUUCGGUCAGGGAUGAGCUCGCGGCCUAUCAGCUUGUUGGUGAGGUAAUGGAUCACCAAGGCGUCGACGGGUAGCCGGCCUGAGAGGGUGACCGGCCACACUGGGACUGAGACACGGCCCAGACUCCUACGGGAGGCAGCAGUGGGGAAUAUUGCACAAUGGGCGAAAGCCUGAUGCAGCAACGCCGCGUGAGGGACGGCGGCCUUCGGGUUGUAAACCUCUUUUAGCAGGGAAGAAGCGAAAGUGACGGUACCUGCAGAAAAAGCGCCGGCUAACUACGUG